rnacentral:rRNA from 1 species
GACGAACGCUGGCGGCGUGCCUAAUACAUGCAAGUAGGACGCAGUUGCGAACGGGUGAGUAACGCGUAGGUAACUACCUAUUAGAGGGGGAUAACUAUUGGAAACGAUAGCUAAUACCGCAUACUAGUAGAUGGACCUGCUUUUUGUUAGCUAGUAGGUAGGGUAAUGGCCUACCUAGGCAACGAUACAUAGCCGAGCUGCGAGGGUGGUCGGCCACACUGGGACUGAGGCAAGGCCCAGACUUCCUCGGGAGGCAGCAGUAGGGAAUCUUCGGCAAUUGGGGGAACCCUGAACGAGCAACGCCGCGGGAGGUAAGAAGGUUUUCGGAUCGGAAAGCUCUGUUGUGAAGGAAGCGGUACUUAACCAGAAAGGGACGGCUAACUACGUGCCAGCAGCCGCGGUAAUAC